AAUACGACUCGACGAUAAAAACCCAAUCUCACCUAUCUACUCUAUAAUUUAACAAAUGAUUUUACUCAUUCAUCGUGUGACACAUCCAACGAUCGAAAAUCAUCUGAUGAUGUCGAUCCAACGGCUCGCCGCCUCCCUCCAAAUCCGAUCGGAUCGCCUCCCCUCCCCAGGCAAAAUCACCGUGUCCUCGCCAGAACAUCACGGACCGCCUCGCACAGGGGUUCACCGGCCUGCUGCAGGCGCAACCGCCGCAGUUUCCGUGGCCGGCGGAUUCCCUUCGAGAUCGACCUCCCCGUGGUCCCCUUCGGCGCCUCCUGGGGUGCCCGGGCCGGGAAGGAGUUCUUCCCCGCCGCGGCCGUCGCCUCCGUCAUCGACAUCGGCAGGAGGCUCGGCCAGGCUGGCGUAGAGAUUGGGGCGUCCGUGGUAAAUGCAUCAUUCAAGAAAUGGUUUUCAAACAGGCGAGCAUCCUGACGGGAUCAUCCCAGGGACCACGAUGCUCUUCGCCCCGUGCUUCAUCAGCCUCUGUUUGAAGAACAACAAAGAGAGAUUGGUGGAUUAGUUGCUAAUUUACCAUGAAUAAGGGGACUAGAGAGUGUUUGGGAGGAUCUGCUACUGAUUGGCAGGAUGAACAGAGUUGUUUUAGUUUCAUUCCCACCUCUGAUGGAAUAUUUGAGGGGCAAUAUAUUUGUCAAGCUUAAGUAUUGAAUUUCAAUCCAUGUGAGAAGAUAGUACAAAUGAAUUGUAAACAGAACAUACCGUCACUGGCUUCAAGGUAAACAUGAAUAUAUUUCUAAGAUGUCAUUUUAGUCUACAGUAGAUAUAUACACUGUAACUAGGUAUGUCGUUUUUAUUUGUGAAACUCAAUAGGUGUAACUGUUGCUAUUUAAAUGCAGAUUUCAAAAACAAGUAUACCACAAAUUGGUGUUGUUAAGUAGUUAUGCAGCAAUACUGAUUAUUAUUUGGUUUUUAUACAAUUAGUGUGGAAUCACAUCACCCAUGUUCUUUUGGGAUUAUUGGGAUCAAUUGUUUCCAAUGUGCAAGGGCUAUGGCAUUUCAAGGUGCUGAGAUAUUGCACACCCCAUGAUAAUCUGCCUAGACUUCCAUGAACACUGGAAGCGUGUCAUGCAAGGCCAUGUUAGUGCUAGCUCCAUAUUGCCAUAUGCUUUUUUUCCCUACAAAUCAUUUUUGAAUAAGUUGUUUGAACCGAUCUACUCCAAAGGACCAAUGGAUCGGUGGAAGAGAGAAGCAUCCUUUUCAAUUUGCCAUACUGCUGAGAGCAUUUUUAUUUUCAUCACAAUCUUGAUGUUAUACCUAUUAUCUUGCAAAAUAACAUUGUCUUGAACUUUCAAGUCAGAACAUGAAGAUUGUUUCGCAUAUAGCAAUUUUCCUCAGUUGCCAGCUGCUAGCCAUCAGCGCAUCAUCAACCUUGAAGUGAAGAAUAAACAAAUUAGAUGGCAGUUGUUUUAUUUUAUUCUAAAUAUUAGAGGCACCUGUAAUAUAUUAUUAAUCUAUUGGAAAGAUAUUGUUGUUAUACUCAGUGAAUUUCCAAAAAAAAUAAGGCUUAGUUUC